CAUCGGUAUGGGAUGGGGUCGCGUCCUAUCAGGUAGUCGGCGGGGUAACGGCCCACCGAGCCUACGACGGGUAGCCGGCCUGAGAGGGCGACCGGCCACAUUGGGACUGAGAUACGGCCCAGACUCCUACGGGAGGCAGCAGUGGGGAAUAUUGCACAAUGGGCGCAAGCCUGAUGCAGCGACGCCGCGUGCGGGAUGACGGCCUUCGGGUUGUAAACCGCUUUUGAUCGGGAGCAAGCCUUCGGGUGAGUGUACCUUUCGAAUAAGCACCGGCUAACUACGUGCCAGCAGCCGCGGUAAUACGUAGGGUGCAAGCGUUAUCCGGAAUUAUUGGGCGUAAAGGGCUCGUAGGCGGUUCGUCGCGUCCGGUGUGAAAGUCCAUCGCUUAACGGUGGAUCUGCGCCGGGUACGGGCGGGCUGGAGUGCGGUAGGGGAGACUGGAAUUCCCGGUGUAACGG
rnacentral:rRNA from 1 species